UACGUAGGGGGCAAGCGUUGUCCGGAUUUAUUGGGCGUAAAGAGCGCGUAGGCGGCCAGGUAGGUCCGUUGUGAAAACUGGAGGCUUAACCUCCAGCUGUCGAUGGAAACCAUCUGGCUAGAGUCCGGAAGAGGAGAGUGGAAUUCCUGGUGUAGCGGUGAAAUGCGCAGAUAUCAGGAAGAACACCCGUGGCGAAGGCGGCUCUCUGGGACGGUACUGACGCUGAGACGCGAAAGCGUGGGGAGCGAACAGG
rnacentral:rRNA from 1 species